GCCUGUCUCUGCAGUAACGGAAUCUAACCUUGCUGAGCACAAACCCAAACUGUAUGCUGGGCACUAAAUAAAGUCACCUGACAAGUUUUGAGAGCACUGGAGCUAUUUGCCGGGUUUAUGGUACUUCAAAAGGUCUUACUACAGUUCUGGUAAUUGCAUCUUUUAUCGCUGCUGCUUCAAGUUCAUCUGACCGGAACCCGCCCCAGUGUCCUAAAAGGAAACAAGGACGGCAUCCAGACAACCUGAAACUGUCUCCAGGUCCGCUUUUGGAAUUGUUCCACUGCACUGAAACGCUCUUCACUUAGAUAUGCAGUUGGGAAUACUGUAAUAAAUCACGUUAAAGAAGGACACCCCCCAUUAAAUCACGUUUUAGCUCAUUUAACAUUUCCUGCAAAUUGGCUAUUAUGUUGCA